rnacentral:rRNA from 1 species
GAGGAAUUUUGCGCAAUGGGCGAAAGCCUGACGCAGCGACGCCGCGUGGAGGACGAAGGCCUUCGGGUCGUAAACUCCUGUCAAGCGGGACGAAUCCUGUGGGGACGAAUAAGCCCCGCAGUUGACGGUACCG